rnacentral:rRNA from 1 species
GUGUCAGCAGCCGCGGUAAUACGGAGGUGGCUAGCGUUGUUCGGAAUUACUGGGCGUAAAGGGCGCGUAGGCGGCUUUGCAAGUCAGAUGUGAAAGCCCCGGGCUUAACUCGGGAACUGCAUCUGAAACUGCUUAGCUUGAGUCCUGGAGGGGGUAGUGGAAUUCCCAGUGUAGCGGUGAAAUGCGUAGAUAUUGGGAGGAACACCUGCGGCGAAGGCGGCUACCUGGACAGUGACUGACGCUGAGGCGCGAAAGCUAGGGGAGCGAACGGGAUUAGAUACCCCUGUAGUCC